AAAAAUGGGUCAAGCCCAAACUAUCUAAUGACAAAAUGAAACCCUAAUAGUGUUUCUUAAAUUACCUCAGCCGUCACUCACUAUUUCAUUUCCUCUUUCACUCAAUUCUCUUUCUCUCUCCUCUCUCUUCUCUCUCUUAUUUUCAAUUUUUUCCAUUAAAUUUGCCGAUAGAAGCUCGUGAAUUUGAUUAUAAUAAGACCGCUGACGACGCCACCAAGCAUCGUCGGACGCUGGUCUUUUUCAGAGCUCAAGUUUGAAGGAACGCAAGGAGUAAGUUUAUGAGAUCGGUGCAUGCAUGCGGUGGGGGCAUCAUCUUUGGCAUGAACUCACCAAAAGGGCCAUUUCAAGACUGCGUACGUUAGUGUUCAUCAUCACCACCAAGACGAGUGCACGAGGAUGAGCUAGGACAAAGAAGAGGGAGCUCCCCUGCUGCCAGCGCACCAGGGUGGCGCGGGCGCGCCUGCCAGGGCCCCUGUUUCGUACCCAUUUUCUCGCGGCCGCGCCUUUCCCUUGUUGCGACCGCAUAUUCCGAGGUUUCUUUUGGACGAUUUAACUAACUUUUCUAUUGUUAGUUUUACUAUAUAUAGUUUUUCCUUCUAUUUUAGAGAGAGUAGGAUUACAAUAGAAUUAGAAUUAGUUUUAGAUCAAAUUAGAGAAAUAUUUAGAGAGAAAUUCUAGGUUUUAGUGAGAAUUUCUUGGUGGAUUGUUGAUGAUUGAAGAUUUCUCCGUUUCCUUUGAUAUUUGAUCAAGUUUGUAAGGAUUCUUUUUCUUUAAAUUCAAUCUUUAGUUUGAUUU